CUCUUGCUCCCACCCACCCACCCAGAGCCUACAGCUGCAGCAGCAGAGCGCCAGCACCGGACCACGUCAACCCUAGCUCCCCGCUUCCCCGUGCCCAUGGUGUCCAUGAGCACAACGCCGCACCCUCUCGAUUCCCCGACGGCACCGGGCAAGGAGGAAGAGGCGCGCCCGAUGCGCCUGCGCCAGGCCGCCGCGCCCAUGGCCCUGCCGCUGGGGGACGACGACGACGAGGGGCCCAGGAGGGUGCGAAAGCCCUACACCAUCACCAAGUCGCGCGAGAGCUGGACCGAACCCGAGCACGACAAGUUCCUCGAGGCGCUGCAGCUGUUUGAUCGUGAUUGGAAAAAGAUUGAAGCUUAUGUUGGCUCCAAGACUGUAAUACAGAUCAGGAGUCAUGCGCAGAAGUACUUUUUGAAGGUUCAAAAGAAUGGAACAGGUGAACAUUUGCCCCCGCCUAGGCCAAAACGUAAGGCUGCCCAUCCAUAUCCACACAAAGCAUCGAAAAAAGCACUUCAAGUUGUCUUACCGCAACAAACAUCUCAUAUAAUGGAGCAAGGCUGUGGUACAUCUAUGGAUACAGCUACUGUUGCUACGGACUUAAGUGCAAAUGAUGCUUUUCCUUCUUGGGAGAAUGAUCCUGUUCAACAUUUAGGUCCGAGGCAUACACAAGGUUCAGGUGCAACAAAUAAUUACUCUAGUAGCAUAGGUAGCCAAUCUGGAACUUGGCCAACUUCUGAAGCUACAGAGCAAGAUAUCAUGCUUCCAGCACUGCGAGCCAUGCCAGACUUUGCUCGUGUAUACAGUUUCCUUGGAAGCAUAUUUGAUCCAGAGACAAAUGGACAUUUGCAAAAGUUGAAGGAAAUGGAUCCUAUUGAUGCUGAAACGGUACUGUUGUUGAUGAAAAAUCUUUCGAUCAACCUAACCAGCCCAAACUUUGAGGAACAUUCAGUGCGCACUCUGGAAAAGCUUCGCUAGAAGUGGUAAAAUGCCUCCUUGCUGGAGGUGCUAAUACAUGAUUAGUGGCGCGCAUAUACUGAAGGAGGUUGCUUUCUUCACAUGGCUCAAACAUGGACCAAGAUACUGGCUCUUCUCACACCAUUCAUCUUCCGUUCAUGAUAACGAGCAAAUGAGAGAAGGUCCCCUCCUGCGAGCACCCAAGGGUUUGGAGUUACUCUGUAGCGUGGAAGCGUGCUGGAUGCUAGCCGCAUGUUAUAGUUUCGCAUGUGUACAUAGCUUUUGGUAAUGCCCUAACCACCUUAGGCUGGUUUUGCUCAUCAUGUAGAUGGCCAGCUAGUUUAUGCGCAUGUGAUUCUUUGCCCCUUCAGUUUUCCCUAUUUUAACCUAUGUGUGAGCCUGCCACCAAGUAUGAGCCAGGUGGUUUGUUAUGGUAUGCUUAUUGUCGAUACCUUUUUCCCCCACAAGGAAGGAUGGAUGGAUGGUAUACAAUGAUAUGUAGUUUUUGCAGUGGUAUGCAAUGGUAUGUGUAUAGGCUAACAAACUGCUGUUGUAAUGCAUAGUUGAGAGUGCAUGAUUCUGCAGCAGUUCAUGUCAAGGACUCCUCCGAAUGAUAUUGUAUUGAAGAAUGGUGGCAGAUGUAACAUAAAUAAAAUUCAGUUGCCCUUGCUGACACAUGGUUGCAA